rnacentral:rRNA from 1 species
GUCCUGGCCCCUAAACGAUGAAUGCUUGGUGUGGCGGGUAUCGAUCCCUGCCGUGCCGAAGUUAACGCGAUAAGCAUUCCGCCUGGGGAGUACGGUCGCAAGGCUGAACUCAAAGGAAUUGACGGGGCCCGCACAAGCGGUGGAGCAUGUGGUUCAAUUCGACGCAACGCGAAGAACCUUACCUGGGCUUGAACUGCAGAUGAUCAUCGGCGAAAGUCGACUUCCGCAAGGACAUCUGUAGAGGUGCUGCAUGGCUGUCGU